rnacentral:lncRNA from 1 species
CUGGGUAAUGGGUUUUUAUUCAAUAAAAUUGGUGUUUUUUUUUCAGUUUUCUGAUAAUAUCUCAAAAAUGCUUUCACAAAGCAAGGAAUUUUGGUGAAUUGUUUAUAUCUAUUAACAUGAGGUAACUUUCAAUUUUUAUAAAUUUUAGAUUUUACGUUUCCGAGUUAACGGGUUUUAUUAAUUAAAAAGGGGUGAUUUUCCAGUUUUCAGACAUUAACACAAAAAUGUUUUCACCAGUUCUCAUGAAACGUUGGUGUAUUGUUUAUAUAUAUUGACUGAAGCUCCCUUUGUUGCUAAUCAAAAAAGUGACCUAAAAGAGUUUGAAUAUUCUGACUUUUUUCUAAAUGACCAUUUAAUGAGGUGUGUGAAUUUUUCUUAAUAAAACUUUG